rnacentral:snRNA from 1 species
GUGCUCACUUUGGCAGCACACACAUUAUAAUUGGAAUGACCCGGGAAGAUUAGCAUGGCUCCUGUGCAAGGAUGACAAGCAAAUUCAUGAAACAUUCCAUAUUUUU